rnacentral:rRNA from 1 species
UGUCCCUACGGGGGGCAGCAGUGAGGAAUAUUGGUCAAUGGUCGGGAGACUGAACUAGCCAAGCCGCGUGAGGGAGGAAGGUACAGAGUAUCGUAAACCUCUUUUGUCAGGGAACAAAGGCGGGGACGUGUCCCCGGAUGAGUGUACCUGAAGAAAAAGCAUCGGCUAACUCCGUGCCAGCAGCCGCGGUAAUACGGAGGAUGCGAGCGUUAUCCGGAUUUAUUGGGUUUAAAGGGUGCGCAGGCGGCCUGUUAAGUCAGCGGUAAAAGCCCGGGGCUCAACCCCGGCGAGCCGUUGAAACUGGG